rnacentral:rRNA from 1 species
UACGUAGGGUGCGAGCGUUAAUCGGAAUUACUGGGCGUAAAGCGUGCGCAGGCGGUCUGUUAAGACCGAUGUGAAAUCCCCGGGCUUAACCUGGGAACUGCAUUGGUGACUGGCAGGCUUUGAGUGUGGCAGAGGGAGGUAGAAUUCCACGUGUAGCAGUGAAAUGCGUAGAUAUCUGGAGGAACACCGGUGGCGAAGGCGGCAUCCUGGACCGGCAUUGACGCUGAGUGAGCGAAAGCCAGGGGAGCAAACGGG